UACGAAGGGGGCUAGCGUUGCUCGGAAUCACUGGGCGUAAAGCGCACGUAGGCGGAUCUUUAAGUCAGGGGUGAAAUCCUGGAGCUCAACUCCAGAACUGCCUUUGAUACUGGGGAUCUCGAGUCCGGAAGAGGUGAGUGGAACUCCGAGUGUAGAGGUGAAAUUCGUAGAUAUCGGGAAGAACACCCGUGGCGAAGGCGGCUCUCUGGGACGGUACUGACGCUGAGACGCGAAAGCGUGGGGAGCGAACAGG
rnacentral:rRNA from 1 species